rnacentral:rRNA from 1 species
AGAAUCAACGCUGGCGGCGUGCCUCAGACAUGCAAGUCGAACGCGAAAGUCCCCUUCGGGGGACAAGUAGAGUGGCGCACGGGUGAGUAACACGUAGGUAAUCUACCUUCAGAUGGGGAAUAACAACCGGAAACGGUUGCUAAUACCGCAUAAUGCAGCGGCACCUAAUGGUGACAGUUGUUAAAGCGGGGGAUCGAAAGACCUCGCGUCUGAAGGGGAGCCUGCGGCGGAUUAGCUAGUUGGUAGGGUAACGGCCUACCAAGGCGACGAUCCGUA